AGUUUGAUCCUGGCUCAGAACAAACGCUGGCGGCGUGUCUUAAGCAUGCAAGUUGAGCGGCAAGGAGGAGAGAUCCUCCCUAGAGCAGCGGACUGGUGAGUAACGCGUGGGUAAUCUAUCUUAGGCAUGGGGAUAGUCACUAGAAAUAGUGGGUAAUACCGAAUAAGUUCCAUAAGGGGAGGACUUAUGGAAGAAAGGUGCUACGGCACUGGCCUUAGGUGAGCUCGCGUCCCAUUAGCUAGUUGGUGAGGUAAAGGCCCACCAAGGCGAUGAUGGGUAGCCGGCCUGAGAGGGUGAACGGCCACACUGGGACUGAGAUACGGCCCAGACUCCUACGGGAGGCAGCAGCUAAGAAUAUUCCGCAAUGGACGAAAGUCUGACGGAGCGACGCCGCGUGGAUGACGAAGGCCGAAAGGUUGUAAAGUCCUUUUGUCGAUGAAGAAUAAUUGUGGGAGGGAAUGCCCGCAAGAUGACGUUAGUCGGCGAAUAAGCCCCGGCUAAAUUACGUGCC
rnacentral:rRNA from 1 species